CGUGUUAUAGUUUAAAUAAAAUAUUAAAUUGCAAAUUUAAAGAUAUUGUAAAAUCAAUUAAUACAU
rnacentral:tRNA from 1 species